UACGAAGGGGGCUAGCGUUGCUCGGAAUUACUGGGCGUAAAGCGCACGUAGGCGGCUUCUUAAGUCGGUGGUGAAAUCCUGGAGCUCAACUCCAGAACUGCCUCCGAUACUGGCAGUCUCGAGUGCGGGAGAGGUGAGUGGAAUUCCCAGUGUAGAGGUGAAAUUCGUAGAUAUUGGGAAGAACACCAGUGGCGAAGGCGGCUCACUGGCCCGUAACUGACGCUGAGGUGCGAAAGCGUGGGGAGCAAACAGG
rnacentral:rRNA from 1 species